rnacentral:rRNA from 1 species
AUGACAGGAUCCAACUCGAGUGUACAUGGAAAUCAACAUGUGGAAGAUGAUCUCCCAAAAACUCGCGCAUCACUUGGUGAUAUGAUUCAGGAGAGUAUAGUUGCAGCUAUGCGAAGGAUGUUCGGUGGUCAUCUUCCUAUCGCGGGUACUGGGGAUCAACAUCAACAUAGCCCCGCCGCCUCGCUGGCUGCCGACAACCGGCAACGUCAAGGAAACAACGAUCGCCAUGUUGGUCGUGGAAGAGCGGCAGGAGCUACUGCCCAUGGCGCCCCUGCUGUUGGUGCUGAAUGGAGGCGUGGCGACUUUGCUGCCCCCCGUGAGGGUGGGCUGCAAGGAGGAGAAGCUCGCGGGCGAGUCCAUGACCCCCGCGGGUUUGCUGCUGAUCACCGGCGACGAGCGGCACAAGAUGGUGAUGCCAUUUUUCUUGAAGAUCAAUCCGAGCAUGGUGACGAAGAUGAAGGCAUGGGGGACUAUGAACCCUACUCCCCGCCUCGCCGUGGUGCUGUUUUUGGUCGCAAUGGUCAUCAUUACGACCGUCGUGAUCAGGAUGACCAUGACAACCAAGCGAGAGUGAAGCUACAUGUGCCAUCAUUCACAGGAAAAGAGGAUCCAGAUGUAUAUAUUGAGUGGGAAGAGAAGUGUGAUCAGAUCUUUCGGAUCCAUGGAUCUUGCUGUUAUGGAGUUCUCUGGUUAUGCUCUUACAUGGUGGAAUCAGCUGCAAGACGAUCGGUUGAUGUCUGGCAAUAA